AAUCAUCAUGCCCUUUAUGUCCUGGGCUACACACGUGCUACAAUGGCCUGUACAAAGGGCAGCAAAGGGGCGACCCGGAGCAAUCCCAAAAACAGGUCUCAGUUCGGAUUGCAGGCUGCAACUCGCCUGCAUGAAGGCGGAAUCGCUAGUAAUCGCAGGUCAGCAUACUGCGGUGAAUACGUUCCCGGGCCUU
rnacentral:rRNA from 1 species